GAGUUAAUGGCGACUGUAAUAGAGCAGGUUGGUCUGCAGUAGAGCACAUGCUGCUGAGCUGUGGGCACAGGGAAUAUGAGGGAACGGACCACUGUCUUCCCAAGAUGUCCCCCUACCCCUUCUCUACAACUGCAGCCUGGCUACUCCAGCAGACACAGAGAGGUGACAGGCUGGGAGACGUCUCCAACUUGUAUUCAGAAAUAAGACAGUUCUGGAGAAAUAUGCAAUGGCAGAGAACAGCAAAUGCUUUCUCUGUCCCACCCUGAAGUGUCACAUAUUGCCCCUUCCUCUGAGGUUCCUCACUACCUUCCCAGCUCUCCCAGCCUCUGCCCUUUAAAGAGUUGCAGGUUGAUUUGCUGACAUUGUUUGGUGGGAAUCAGCACCACAGGACCACAGGAC